GUCUCAGUAGCAUAGUGGUUAAUGUACAGCCCUAGAGAGGUUGAGACGCGGGUUUGAAUCCCGCCUGAGAUG
rnacentral:tRNA from 1 species